UUGACAAAAUCUUCGUAUUUUUGAAAAUUAUGUACCAUAACAAGUUUCAAGUAUUGUCCUUUUGAAGAGCUGCUAUCAUCUGUCUCUGUAAUGGUGAAAGGACUCAUCCUCAGGACCAGUCCGGAAUAUAAAUACACUGGACUUGAAAAAGAGGCACAGGCGAGCUGUCAGACAUAACGGAACGUUCGAACAGCGUCUCACAGGAAUCAGCGCAGCAAACACAGGCAAGACGAUUUACUUUAAAGAAAUUCUUCAGCUGCCUCAGAGGCGUUCAGGAAGACUCCGAGGAGCGGCCGAGACCUCGAUUCCAGGAGGAGUACAACCCUCUAGUCCAUGGUCUUCGGGAGUGGUCACCUCUACCUCAGCGGCGCUCCUCCCUGGCAUGCGAUGUGCCGAGGACUUCCACCGAGAUGUCCGGCCAGCGGCGCUCCUCCCUGGCACCCAAUGUGCCGAGGACGACCACCGACAUGUCCGGCCAGCGUCGAGAUAGCGCAACUCAAACCAUCCAGUCUGCUGUAGGACCCGCGGAAAAACCCCUGUAGCCUGUGUUAUGUCUGCUCAAUAAAUUAUUCGUCUAUUUGUGUAAUGAGUGAA